UGUGUUGAAACACCAGUUUUCGUACAAUCGCUGAAGUUAACCAACGUCGAGCCUGGUCAGUACCUAGAUGGGUAACCGCUUUGAAAUAUCAAGUGUUGCAAGC